UUAAACUUAAAAUGGCCAUCGGAGGCAAACCGUUCUGAGAUUACUCUUCCACUACUAAUUAAGACAAGGUGGCCAGUAUUAGGAAUAAUAUUCAUUUAACUUCCUGGGUGGACUUGGUGACCUUGCCAACUCCAGCAGCCUUCUUGUCCACUGCUUUGAUUACACCCACAGCAACUGUCUUAUGUCACAAAGAACCAAAUGACCCGAGAAGGACAGUCAGAGAAGCUCUCAACACAUACAGGCCUGCCAGGAACUAUAUCAACUAUGGCAGCAUCAACAGAUUUCAAGAAUUCAGAGUCCGCUUUCAGUUUCCUCCCAGAAGACCAAUCAAUCUUCUCCUUUGGCUCAGCAAACUUGUAAGCAAUGUGAACUGUGUAACAAUUCAGCACAGGUGUACAGCCAGCACUAAUUUGGCCUGGAUGACUAAAGAUAAUAAUCUGCAUUGCGAAGCCAGCUGCUUGCACUGCAGUUUUACAGGACAUCAGUAGAAAUGGAAAAUUUGGCAGUCUAUAGAAAUGAGCAUUUACCUGAGGAAGUUACUCCCAUUUGAGGGAUGAGUUGCUCCUCCCUACAAUUUUCACGACCAGGAACUAAUCUCUGAUAUCUUGAUGGAUGAGGGUUACCAUCAACAUCAACCAAAAAAGGAGGAGGCAUGAGGUGAGGUGCUUGCUGAGUCUGUUCAUCUAAUACAAAGUUGUUGGCAUCACGAAUAAGGGGCCGAUAAUCACUAUGAAAGAACAUCUGAUCUGCUAUCUGUAAAAAGAAAAGACCCAUAAAAGACAAGGAAAACAAAAAUUUAUCAUUGAUAAAUUUCUGAUGGAAGGCAAUGUUUUAACGUAAAUCAUGGUAUUAAGCAACAAUAUAAAAGAAUAUUCUUGAGUUAAUGGUAAAGAAAUCUUUACUAUAUUUUUACAUUAAAUUUUAUGAUCAGAAAAGCAGCUGCUCUCAAUUUUCUCUGGAACAAGGAAAAGACUGUAUACAUAAAACACUAACAUAAUUAAAGUUGUGUAAUUUCAAAUUAAAUGGUAAAAUAAAAUCUAGGUACAAAUCAUUCAGGGGUACUAUUACUUUCAUAGAGCUACCAUGCAUUAUCUUGUUUUUUAAAUUAUUAAACAGUAAUUGUUUUAGCAUUUUGCAAGAGGAAAUCACUCAAUGAAUAUAUUCCUUGAAUUAAACUCUAAUGCAAUCACUUAUACAAUUUAAGAAAACUCUUAAGUAUACUGUACAUGUGACUUAUAUUAACCUAAAAAUCAACAUGACAAGAUUUUCCAAGAGUUAAUAAGCAUUUUCGCUAAAGAAUUUUGUUUUUAAAUUAACACAAAAUUAUUAACAUGAACUCAUGCCUGACACAUCUGUAACUUCACAAUUUUAUUCAUUUGGUAUUUCUUAAACUAUGACCUAUUCAACUUUUAAGUCUUUUAAUCAAUGAACUUAAAUAGGCUCUUUAGUAUUUAAAAAUAUUAGCUACAUCAGUGGGUCAUACAUUUUUGGGAAUCAUAUAAAAGCUACAGAUUUUUACCCCAGGUAAAUAAAUGUAUUUUAUCCAUAUAGAUAAAACAUUUUACAUAACUUCAGAGUCUCUCUAUGGACAACCUCUCUGAUGCUCAGCUUUAGAAUUACAAGCUAGAUUGCUCUAGCAACCUAAAAAGUUAUUCUUUCUGAAAUAUAGACGACUGAAUAAAAUAUUAUCUAAUGUCUAUUACAGAGAAGAGGAAUUUAACAACUGCUAUGUUCACUGAAACUUAAGUCUCUAGAAGACUUAAAAUAUGAUUCUUAAAGCAUAAAUGAUGCUUACCCACCCCUGAAGAAGAAAUACAACCCCUAAGCAUCCACAGAUUAAAAAAAAUAUAAAAACAAAGAGAAGAAGAAGAAAAAGAAUCAUCAUCAUCAUCAUCAUCAUCAUACUCUACCUUGUCAUAUUUGCUACUGGAGCCAAAACCAAAAAUUAGAAGAUGUCCAUGAGAGUCUGUGCAUGCAAAAUGCUGACCAUCAGGAGAGCAUUUGCAGUCAAAUACUGCACCAUGUCCUUGGCCUUCAAUCUGAAAUAUAUUUAACCAACAAUCAGAAGGGUACCAUUAAAAUAAAAAGACUGGUCAUUACUGUUACUAAAAUUUUAUGGUAAAAGAUAUGUAAAAGUAUACAUCCCAAUGAAGUGAAGAUUAAGUAUAACACAGUACAGUAACAAAAUUUGUGAAUAUUCAUGAAAAGUGCCAGAUUAAUAGCCUUGAAAAACAAAGUGUUUUCUUUAUGCACACACAGACCAGACACAAUUCAGGAAAUAAAACAUCAAUCUCCCCCACCCAAAGAAUUCUGCUUCAUGUCUUUAAGCCACAUUUAAAAUGUAAUUGCACCUUGCAUUCCAUCUUAUCUGCAUUUAAUCAAGCCCUUUCAGCAAAGGCUGACAAUGUGUAGUAACUGUAGCGAUUUUUUCUUAACUCUUGGAAGUAGUAGCCAGAGAUUAUUGUUCACAAGACACUAAAUUUUUUCCUUUUGGUAAUAAAUUCCCUUGAUGGUCUGACUCAUCUUUUAAAUGGUGAAUUUCAAAGGUUAAAGAAAAGGUUUUUUUUACCUGAUAAUUGUUUUCUGUUUUCCAGUUCCAUUAAUCCAGAACGAAUGGGUUUCUCCCUGCAACCUGUCAAUCAAACAGAGGUGGCCAAUCACCACUCUGAAUUUUUUUUGCUCUCAGUGCUUCUUCAGACUAUGUUCCAGUUGAAAACUUCUUUAGCAGUGUUCUGAAAGAGGUAAAAGUUCUACCCUAUCUAAAGCACAUCUAGGGACUGAAUUUCAGAAAACAACUAAAAUAGGGAGUCGACUCCCUAACAAAUAACAACUAAGGAUGAUUUUCAACAAAUGCGAUUGGAUUUCUGGAUUAGCAGAAUCGGAACACACACACAUUAUCAGGUAUCCCUAAUACCUAGGAAGUAGAUGUUUUAAAAAGUGACGAUAAACAGCAGUAUUUGAAGAAAACUUCAUACAGUGGUUAGAGACAAGUGGAAAACACUGCACAUACUUACAGUAUGGAACUCCAAUUCUGAUAUUUUCUCUGGCUGACCUGAUCCAAAAAAAUAAACCCGAAUAAUAUGAUCCGUGCUUCCUGUGGCCAGAAACAUGCCACCUGAGGAGUAGGAGCAAACAUUUACUAUGGAGAUAAUGGCAGCAAAGACCUCUCCUUCCAACAUGAAACUGGAUCUCUUACACUGUAGGUAAUUCCUAACAACAACAAAAUUCUAUUUUGUGACUCCCUCUUGGAAAUUUCGAAGUUUCAUGAAAAUAAAAAGUUUGAGAGGUAAAGUUCA